UAGGAGCUGAGAGGGGGAGGUGAGAGCUGAGAGAGAGAUGGGAGCUGAGAGAGAGAUGGGAGCUGAGAGAGAGAUAGGAGCUGAGAGGGGGAGCUGAGAGAGAGAUGGGAGCUGAGAGAGAGAUGGGAGCUGAGAGAGAGAUAGGAGCUGAGAGGGGGAGGUGAGAGCUGAGAGAGAGAUGGGAGCUGAGAAAGAGAUGGGAGCUGAGAGAGAGAUGGGAGCUGAGAGAGAGAUAGGAUCUGAGAGAGAGAUGGGAGCUGAGAGAGAGAUGGGAGCUGAGAGAGAGAUGGGAGCUGAGAGAGAGAUAGGAGCUGAGAGGGGGAGGUGAGAGAGAGAUGGGAGCUGAGAGAGAGAUGGGAGCUGAGAGAGAGAUAGGAGCUGAGAGGGGGAGGUGAGAGCUGAGAGAGAGAUGGGAGCUGAGAGAGAGAUGGGAGCUGAGAGAGAGAUGGGAGGUGAGAGAGAGAUGAGAGCUGAGAGAGAGAUAGGAGCUGAGAGAGAGAUGGGAGCUGAGAGAGAGAUGGGAGCUGAGAGAGAGAUGAGAGUUGAUAGAGAGAUGAGAGCUGAUAGAGAUUGAUGAGAGCUGAGAGAGAGAUGGGAGCUGAGAGAGAAAUGGGAGCUGAGAGAGAGAUGGGAGCUGAGAGAGAGAUGAGAGCUGAUAGAGAUUGAUGAGAGCUGAGAGAUGGGAGCUGAG
ensembl:lncRNA